rnacentral:rRNA from 1 species
AAGGUAGCAUAAUAAAUAGGUUUUUAAUUGAAAUCUAGAAUGAAUGAUUGAACGAAAUAUAAACUUUUUUAAAUUAAUUAAAUAUAAUUUAAUUUUUUAGUUAAAAAGCUAAAAUUUAUUUAAAAGACGAGAAGACCCUAUAAAUCUUUAUAUAAAAUUUAUUUUUUUGUUUUAUUUAAAAAUUUAUUUUUAAAAUAAAUUUAAAUAUUUUAUUGGGGUGAUAUAAAAAUUUAAUAAACUUUUUAUAAUUUAUUAUUAUAAUUAAAAGAAUAUAUUAAUAAUGAUCUAUUUAUUGUAAUUAAAAGAAUAAGAUACUUUAGGGAUAACAGCGUAAUUUUAAUUUUAAGUUCAAAUUAAAAUUAAAGAUUGCGACCUCGAUGUUGGAUUAAAAUUUAUUUUAAAUGCAAAAGUUUAAAAAUUAAGUCUGUUCGACUUUUAAAAUUUUACAUGAUCUGAGUUCAAACCGGUGUGAGCCAGGUU